rnacentral:rRNA from 1 species
ACGGUCGCGUAACACGUAAGCAACCUGCCCUUAAGUGGGGGAUAGCCUUCCGAAAGGAAGAUUAAUACCGCAUGUGAACACUACUCUGCAUGUUGUGGUGUUUAAAGUAGCAAUACGCUUAAGGAUGGGCUUGCGGCCUAUCAGCUAGUUGGUGGGGUAAUGGCCUACCAAGGCGACGACGGGUAGCUGGUCUGAGAGGAUGGUCAGCCGGACUGGGACUGAGAUACGGCCCAGACUCCUACGGGGGGCAGCAAUUAGGAAUCUUGCGCAAUGGGCGAAAGCCUGACGCAGCGACGCCGCGUGAAGGAUGACAGCCUUCGGGUUGUAAACUUCUUUUAUCAGGGAAGAAGGAUGUGACGGUACCUGAUGAAUAAGCCCCGGCUAACUACGUGCCAGCAGCCGCGGUAAUACGUAGGGGGCGAGCGUUGUCCGAAUUUACUGGGCGUAAAGCGCGCGUAGGCGGACUUUUAAGUUGAUGGUGAAAUUCCGAGGCUCAACCUCGGAACUGCCUUCAAAACUGGGAGUCUUGAGGUAUGGAGAGGGAAGUGGAAUUCCUGGU